CCAGCAGUAGUCCUGGGUUCCUGAUGCUGCCAUGGGUUCCAGGCUCCUCUGCUGUGUAACUCUCUGCCUCCUGGGAGCAGGCCUGGUGGAUUCUGAAGUCACCCAGACCCCCAAAUACCUGAUCAAAUCAAGAAAACAGCAAGUGAUACUGAGAUGUUCCCCUGAGUCUGGACACCGAUCUGUGUACUGGUCCCAACGGGCCUUGGGCCAAGGCCUCCAAUUCCUCAUUCAGUAUUACAAUAGGGCAGAGAAUGAGAAAGGAAACCUAUCAGAUCGAUUCUCAGGAAAACAGUUCAGUGUCUCUAGCUCUGAGCUGAACUUGACUUCCUUGGAGCUGACCGACUCAGCCGUGUAUCUCUGUGCCAGCAGCCAAGACACAGCCCUGCAUGAUCAGGUGCCUCUGGGACAAAAACACUCCUGCCCCAGCUCAGGAAGUGGUGCCCGUGUGUCAGCUGCCAGCCUGCCAAGCCCAGUCUCUGGUGGAGCGAUAGAUUUUCCCAGACAUUCACUUCUUGAUAUGUUUUAAUGCUCACUAACGUCAUCAAGGUAAGUACCAUUUUAUCUGUUUGUACAUCUCAGGGAAGUGAGUUGCCCAGAUCUCAUACUUCAUAAGUGUUUCAGCUAGCAUCCCGGCUCAAGUGUGUUCUCAACACCCGUGGUCCCUUCACUCAUGGAUCUGUGUACAGAGCAAGUUACAUAUACGCAUUGUGUUAUGUGUAACAAGAUACAGUUUGGGGCUCUGUGAU